CCCUACAUCCAAUGAGGGAGCCUCUGAGCCCCGAGCUCCGCCCCCUUCCACCUGUCUCUGUGGUCUAUCCCGCACCGAGCAGCAGCAAUUGCUCUGCAAAGCCUUAAGCUCCGCCGAAUACCAACCUGGCCCGCCUCGGGCGGUGCUGAAGGCGACAGUCUCCGGAGAGCUUGUGCAAAUAUAUACUUUGAAGUCUGGCUUCCGGUUCCAGGAUAGCUCUUUCUGGAGGUGACACUUCUUCAAGCGUGCUCUCUCCAUCGGCAGGACUUGGAGGAGCUGGGAGCAACUACCCGCAGCAGCCCUGUUCCUGGACCCUCUCUCAUGGCCUCAAGACAUUGCUUCUACAGUGCCUCUGCCCCGCACCUGCUCUCAGCUCCGACAGAAGUCACUCCCUCAGAGUCUCACUAUUGCUGGGUAAUGAACUACCGUCCCCUCCCUGCCUUACCGCCGCCUUCCUUGGAACAGUGAUUUAGAGAUUUGAGUCUGUGCCUCCUGAACUGCCAUUCCUAAGACCCCAAAUAAACUCCUUUGACUUUCACA